GGCGCCCGCCACUAGGCCCGGGCCUACCGUCAGCCCGGGCCCGGGACGCUCGGGCUCGGCGGCCGCCGCCCGGCGGGAGGCCAUGGGCACGGCGGUCCCUUCCUUCCUGGAAACUCAGCGAAGAGUUAGCGUUCCCAGGCUGUUGGAGCUCUUCCACGUUAAGGGAUGAUAUUUGCUAUGUGCCCUGUAAGUCCUGCCCUGGGACUC
rnacentral:lncRNA from 1 species